rnacentral:rRNA from 1 species
CUCCGUGCCAGCAGCCGCGGUAAUACGGAGGGUGCAGCGUUACUCGGAAUCACUGGGCGUAAAGGGCGCGUAGGCGGAUUAUCAAGUCUCUUGUGAAAUCUAAUGGCUUAACCAUUAAACUGCUUGGGAAACUGAUAGUCUAGAGUGAGGGAGAGGCAGAUGGAAUUGGUGGUGUAGGGGUAAAAUCCGUAGAUAUCACCAAGAAUACCCAUUGCGAAGGCGAUCUGCUGGAACUCAACUGACGCUAAGGCGCGAAAGCGUGGGGAGCAAACAGGAUUAGAUACCCUGGUAGUCCACGCCCUAAACGAUGUACACUAGUUGUUGGGGUGCUAGUCAUCUCAGUAAUGCAGCUAACGCAUUAAGUGUACCGCCUGGGGAGUACGGUCGCAAGAUUAAAACUCAAAGGAAUAGACGGGGACCCGCACAAGCGGUGGAGCAUGUGGUUUAAUUCGAAGAUACGCGAAGAACCUUACCUGGGCUUGAUAUCCUAAGAACCUUUUAGAGAUAAGAGGGUGCUAGCUUGCUAGAACUUAGAGACAGGUGCUGCACGGCUGUCGUCAGCUCGUGUCGUGAGAUGUUGGGUUAAGUCCCGCAACGAGCGCAACCCACGUAUUUAGUUGCUAACGGUUCGGCCGAGCACUCUAAAUAGACUGCCUUCGUAAGGAGGAGGAAGGUGUGGACGACGUCAAGUCAUCAUGGCCCUUAUGCCCAGGGCGACACACGUGCUACAAUGGCAUAUACAAUGAGACGCAAUACCGCGAGGUGGAGCAAAUCUAUAAAAUAUGUCCCAGUUCGGAUUGUUCUCUGCAACUCGAGAGCAUGAAGCCGGAAUCGCUAGUAAUCGUAGAUCAGCCAUGCUACGGUGAAUACGUUCCCGGGUCUUGUACUCACCGCCCGUCACACCAUGGGAGUUGAUUUCACUCGAAGCCGGAAUACUAAA